rnacentral:rRNA from 1 species
UACAGGGGGGGCAAGCGUUAUCCGGCAUUAAUUGGCGUAAAGGGUACGUAGGCGGCCUUACUGAAAUUGCAAGGGAAAUCCUGGUAUUCGAAUAACAGAAGUCUUUGCAAUAGUACGUGGCUCGGGUUUAUCAAAGGUUGGGGGAAUUUGUGGAGUAGAGGUAAAAUUCAACGAUACCAUAAAGAACAUCAGAGGUGAAGACGCCUUUCUAGGGUAAACUGACGCUGAGGUACGAAGGUUUAGGGAGCAAACGGG